GAGGGUAUAGCUCAAAUGGUAGAGCACAUGAUUAUCAUGCAUGAGGUCCUGGGUCCAAUCUCCAGUACCUCUU
rnacentral:tRNA from 1 species